GAUGAACGCUGGCGGCGUGCCUAAUACAUGCAAGUCGAGCGAACAGACGAGGAGCUUGCUCCUCUGACGUUAGCGGCGGACGGGUGAGUAACACGUGGAUAACCUACCUAUAAGACUGGGAUAACUUCGGGAAACCGGAGCUAAUACCGGAUAAUAUAUUGAACCGCAUGGUUCAAUAGUGAAAGACGGUUUUGCUGUCACUUAUAGAUGGAUCCGCGCCGCAUUAGCUAGUUGGUAAGGUAACGGCUUACCAAGGCGACGAUGCGUAGCCAACCUGAGAGGGUGAUCGGCCACACUGGAACUGAGACACGGUCCAGACUCCUACGGGGGGCAGCAGUAGGGAAUCGUCCGCAAUGGGCGAAAGCCUGACGGAGCAACGCCGCGUGAGUGAUGAAGGUCUUCGGAUCGUAAAACUCUGUUAUUAGGGAAGAACAAAUGUGUAAGUAACUAUGCACGUCUUGACGGUACCUAAUCAGAAAGCCACGGCUAACUACGUG
rnacentral:rRNA from 1 species